rnacentral:rRNA from 2 species
GAGUGCUAAGUGUCAGAGGGUUUCCGGCCUUUAGUGCUGCAGGUAACGCAUUAAGCACUCCGCCUGGGGAGUACGGUGGCAAGACUGAAACUCAAAGGAAUUGACGGGGGGCCGCACAAGCGGUGGAGCAUGUGGUUUAAUUUGAAGCAACGCGAAGAACCUUACCAGGUCUUGACAUCCUUUGACAACUCUAGAGAUAGAGCGUUCCCCCCCCCCGGACAGAGUGACAGGUGGUGCAUGGUGUCGUCAGCUCGUGUCGUGAGAUGUUGGGUUAAGUCCCGCAACGAGCGCAACCCUUGAUCUUAGUUGCCAGCAUUCAGUUGGGCACUCUAAGGUGACUGCCGGUGACAAACCGGAGGAAGGUGGGGAGGACGUCAAAUCAUCAUGCCCCUUAUGACCUGGGCUACACACGUGCUACAAUGGAUGGUACAAAGGGCCGCAAGACCGCGAGGUCAAGCCAAUCCCAUAAAACCAUUCUCAGUUCGGAUUGUAGGCUGCAACUCGCCUACAUGAAGCCGGAAUCGCUGGUAAUCGCGGAUCAGCAUGCCGCGGUGAAUACGUUCCCGGGCCUUGUACACACCGCCCGUCACACCACGAGAGUUUGUAACACCCGAAGUCGGUGGAGUAACCUU